rnacentral:rRNA from 1 species
GGUUAAGCGACUAAGCGUACACGGUGGAUGCCCUGGCAGUCAGAGGCGAUGAAGGACGUGCUAAUCUGCGAUAAGCGUCGGUAAGGUGAUAUGAACCGUUAUAACCGGCGAUUUCCGAAUGGGGAAACCCAGUGUGAUUCGUCACACUAUCAUUAACUGAAUCCAUAGGUUAAUGAGGCGAACCGGGGGAACUGAAACAUCUAAGUACCCCGAGGAAAAGAAAUCAACCGAGAUUCCCCCAGUAGCGGCGAGCGAACGGGGAGGAGCCCAGAGCCUGAAUCAGUGUGUGUGUUAGUGGAAGCGUCUGGAAAGGCGCGCGAUACAGGGUGACAGCCCCGUACACAAAAAUGCACAUACUGUGAGCUCGAUGAGUAGGGCGGGACACGUGGUAUCCUGUCUGAAUAUGGGGGGACCAUCCUCCAAGGCUAAAUACUCCUGACUGACCGAUAGUGAACCAGUACCGUGAGGGAAAGGCGAAAAGAACCCCGGCGAGGGGAGUGAAAAAGAACCUGAAACCGUGUACGUACAAGCAGUGGGAGCACGCUUCGGCGUGUGACUGCGUACCUUUUGUAUAAUGGGUCAGCGACUUAUAUUCUGUAGCAAGGUUAACCGAAUAGGGGAGCCGAAGGGAAACCGAGUCUUAACUGGGCGUUAAGUUGCAGGGUAUAGACCCGAAACCCGGUGAUCUAGCCAUGGGCAGGUUGAAGGUUGGGUAACACUAACUGGAGGACCGAACCGACUAAUGUUGAAAAAUUAGCGGAUGACUUGUGGCUGGGGGUGAAAGGCCAAUCAAACCGGGAGAUAGCUGGUUCUCCCCGAAAGCUAUUUAGGUAGCGCCUCGUGAAUUCAUCUCCGGGGGUAGAGCACUGUUUCGGCAAGGGGGUCAUCCCGACUUACCAACCCGAUGCAAACU